UGUGCCAGGAAGGGGGCCGACUGAGCAGUGCAUGGAAGCUGUCGCUGAGGUGACGGUGGGGCCAUGAGAAAAGGGGAAGGAAGGAACAGACAGCACCAGAGGGACUUGAACAAAGGGAGAAGGGGGAUUAAAGUCAAAUCACUGUCAGCAGCCCAGGAGCUGACAAAACCACCAGAGUAAGCUCUGAAAUGGAAAUGAGAGGGAAAAGAAGCAAGCCGCUAACAGCUACCAAGAAGAGGAGGAAGUGGGAGAUGCGCUGCUUCCUGUAGAAAGAACGUUGAUUGAAGACAAAGCUGGGUGGGGACUAGUCCCUGGGCUGCAGCCGCCGCUACACAUACUCACAACGCUGCCGCCGCGCUCCGUGGGCAACUCCUACUACUGCUGCUGGGCUGGGCUGGGCUGGGCUGCGCCGGAGCUCGCCUGCACAGAUCAGCUCCGGAGACAGGGGAAAACCACACUCCUCUGACCAAGCCUCGGGAGCUAAGCCAGAUCUGCCAGUGAGCCUCAGGCUUUAGGAACUGAAGAGUGUUUCUGAAAGAUCUAUCCAGCACUCCGAUGGCCAGCAACAAUACCGCCAGCAUAGCACAAGCCAGGAAGCUGGUAGAGCAGCUUAAGAUGGAAGCCAACAUUGACAGGAUAAAGGUGUCCAAGGCAGCUGCAGAUUUGAUGGCCUACUGUGAAGCGCAUGCCAAGGAAGAUCCCCUCCUGACCCCUGUUCCGGCUUCAGAAAACCCGUUUAGGGAGAAGAAGUUUUUCUGUGCCAUCCUUUAAGUCUUCAAGAGGGGCCUGAAGAGCCUCCGGGCUCCUGGGACAUUGACGUAGAGGUUUUAGCAAAGUGGGCACCUUUCUAGUCCACGGCAUUUGAAGAGCGCGAGGAGAACCAUCCUGGAAACUCCAGGCUAUGCAUGUUUAAAGAUCUGGUCCCCUUUAUGAGAAUGCAAGCUGAUCCACAUCCUGAGUUAAGAGAUCUGAUUCUGCCGAACUGCCUGGAGGAGGGGAAUAUAUAAAAAUAAAAUUGGUGUCACUUCUUUUCUGCUAUCCCCCAGUGCCCCCCAAAAUCCUCAUGUUUCUGCUUCAUAUUUUAAAGAAUAACAAUUAAAACAGACAGCUGUACUGAGGUAAGAUAUGUGUGACCUUCUUGGAAUGAAUAUUGUCUUUAGAAUAUCCUUUGAUAAGCUGCGCUGUCCCGUGUAGCCGAAAUUCUGUUUAAUGGCAUUGAUGUAUAGUCAUUGUGCCUUUCUUUUUCUUUUUUCCUUCUCCUCUACCCCUCCUUCCACCCCUUCCCAUUAGAGUAGUGUGGAGAUAAGGCUGGACUUGUCUAUCAGAUUGAACUCCAAGGAUGAUCACACGAAAUGUUUAGGGAGAUGUUCCCCAUGGUGUAUCCUCAUGGUAACAAGACAAAAAAUGCUGGUUGUCUGUGUUCUCUUUUCACUAUUCCUAACGUGUACACGAUAGCUUUGAUUCUGCAAGUAAAAGUAAAUCAUGUGUUGUGACUGGUGCUUUCAUAUAUUUGUGACAAUUUUUGAGUAAUAUUGCAUGAAAAUGUCCCUAUGUUACAUCCAUUCAGAAGUUUUGUUGUUUUACUCUAAAGCCAGGAAAGGAAAUGAGAGGGGAAAGACCCUGGGGAGGAAAGGAAAUCUCAGUAUUUUGAAAAUUGAGAUUACUUCUGAGCCUUAGCCAUGCCUAAAAUACCUCUGAGUUAAUAGUGGUAUAAAGGCCUCUUCAAUACGUUUUCCAGAAUCCAAAGCAUUUUGGUUUAUCCGGGACCCAGGGCAGCACAGCUGUCACCAAGCAGGAGAGUUAAGGAUUCACCAUGAGUUGGGAAGUGCUUUUGCCAUGAGUAUGAGCAAGUUCCCUCCUUCCCUGAAUCAUGGACAUUCUAGAUUAAAAGAACAUUUUUUCUGCUCUUAAGAAGAAAACCAUGGCCCUCCUUUGUUCAAGUAUCAGAAGAAAUAAACCCACAGCUCCAGAGAAGGUGACCAUUCUCAGAACUCUGGCUCUUCAGAAGGACCUCAAAUCGCCACUCUUUGGGCAGCAGGUGCGGUCCCCACAGCCAGCUCUACCAGGAAGAGUUCUGGCUCUUCUGUCCACUGAGAUGGUCUUGGUUUUUCACUUAACAAAUUUUUAAUGGAAUCUUUGUUUUUGUUCUCCAUCUUGUUUGUUAGAGUCUCUUGGUCUUUAUUUACAAAUUCCUGGCAACUAGAGUGCUCCUUUCCCAAGAUAUGGUAGUGAGAGUAAUUUUUCAUUGUAGCUGUAGUCUCCAUCAGUAACAGCAGGCCCUGGAAGGCUUGAUCACCUUUUUCUGUGUCAUUUUCAGUCAAAGAGGCCCUCUCUUACAUCUUGUUUGCUUUCAAAUCCCCAAAUACCAUCUCCAUCUCCCAAUUAAUUUUAUUCUCCCCUCUUUCCUCUCUAUUCUUUCUCCUGUUUUUUGUUUUUUUGUUUGUUUGUUUGUUUGUUUUUGUUUUUGUUUUUUUUUAAGGCAUGAAAAAGGAAGAGAAAAAGAUUUGGUAUGCCAAGGACAGAUUUUGAAACAGACUUGGUAAAUGUUUUCCUUAGCUCCUUCAUGGGCAUGUGGGUAAAAGAAUAAAUACAUCCAAUUAAAGCUCAUGCUGGGGUCGGGGAGAAGAAGAUACUGAAACAUUUGUGAAAUGUAUCAAUGUACUUCUGUAACCAGAUGCUUCUCUUCAAAUUGUGGGGUUUUUGUUACAGUCAGGACACCCAUGAAGAUUUAGGGGUGAAAGAAACAGCAGAGUAUUUAUUAAACUAUAGCAUUGUACAAUUAGCUUAGUAACACUGUGGAAUAAGCUAAAACAUAUCACAGUUUUUAAAUGGGCCAAAGCAUGAAUUGACUGUGUGGUCACAUGAAAACAAGCAUGAAUGAAUAAAGCACUCUUUGGUAGUGAUUGAGGCAUCAUUAGAAGGCCCAGACGAUUUCCACUAUUCACAAUAUUUCCUUUUCUCAGAAGGACUCUUUAUAUUUCCAUGUAAAUCUAGAUCUUUGGAGCAGUUAAGAUGGAAUUACAAUUUCUAGGGAGCAUUUUAAGGAAAAUGUUUUGGCUUUUUCAUAAUUUUAUGUCUUACAGUAUGGAAUUAUAAUACAAAAAUCUUUAUAUGAGUUUUGGCUUAUUGGUAUUUGUACUUAUUCAGGGGAAAAAGUCUUUCGAUUACUUAUGCCUCUAAAGAGCUUAAUUUCUUGAGAAAUUCAACAGUCCCAUCACCAGCAUAAUUUUCUCUUAAGGAAUAACUAAUAGGAAAAGUCAACUUAAUUAUUUAAGACCCUAGUUUCUACAUAUAAUAUAUUCAAUAGUAAUGAAAAUCUGCCAUGGUAAUUAACUAAUAAGUAGUAAAAAUAAACUUCAUAUUUAGAAUGCAAAGUCUAUAAAGAACAAUUUUACAUGAUCCUCAAUAUCAACUCCAGUUUAAAAGGUGUUAUUUUUAAAACAUAUGAAACCAAGUACUGCUUAAUUUCAGUCAGAAGAUGCAGAUAAAUACUUUGAUCUAUGUCUGAUUUUGCUAAUAAUAUUUGAAGGAGAUUGCCUACCAAGGACAAAUUAAACAAUACAUUUAAAAAUCAAACAACAAACGAUUUCUCCAUACACUCAUAGUCACAUAUGGAAUUUUGAGAAAAUAAAGCAUGCUGUCUCUAGUCUCUAGGAAUUUUUAUACUUCUUUUUCUUCCUAAAUAUUUGCUUCUAGCUGCUCUUGGCAAUGAUGAAUUGUUAUGUAUGCAUUAAUGUUUUGCAGCCCAAAAGUUGUUCACAUUUUUCCUAUAUAAGAUCUGUGGAGUGUGUGUUUCAAAGAGAGAACUACAGAAAUGUUAAAGCAGGAAAACCUGAAUGUGAUGUGCACAUUUUCAUCCCACAUGGACAAUGUAUGUGUUUUAAUAAAUGGAAUUUUCAGAUUCAUUUCAUAUGCAGUCAAUUUCAUUGUGGAGGCCUGUGGACCACCUCACCCACUGAUUCUGUCGCUAAUUGGAGAAGAACCUGAUGGUACGAAUGGAUGGGGAAAUAGGAAUCCAUUGAUUUUCUUUAGGAUUUUGUUAAUAGAGAUGUCCUGAAGAAGAAAAACCUCACUUGACAGUCUAAAAGCAUUUCUUACUGGGUCUGUACAUCUAGGGUACAGCCUUUGGAGACAGAGAAAGGUGGGAGCUGUGAGGAGAGUCCAGAGCUCUGUGACAGGGCGGACUAUGCAGACAGAGGAGCUGUAUUGACACUCUCACUUGCUGCAGCCUCCAGAAGUGACUGCCUAGGCAUGAACAUGUAACUGAAGGGGCCAGAGGUUGUCA